CUAAUAGCGUAUAUUUAAGUUGUUGCAAUUAAAAAGCUCAUAGUUGGAUUUCGGGAGGCGGCGGACGGUCGCGCGCCUGUUGCGUCGACACGCGCCCCCCUCCUUGUCCACCUUGGUGCCGCGCUGGGCUUCACUGCAUGGCGCACCACCGCGACAACGUAACCUUGAACAAAUUAUAGUGUUCAAAGCAGGCGCACGCUGUGAGUACAUUAGCAUGGAAUAAUGGCACAGGACUCCGGUGGUCCCGUUCUCAUUGGUCUCCGCACCAGAGUAAUGGUUAACAGGGACAGUCGGGGGCAUUCGUACUCCGGCGUUAGAGGUGAAAUUCUUGGAUCGCCAAAAGACAAACUUCUGCGAAAGCAGUUGCCAAGGAUGUUUUCAUUAAUCAAGAACGAAAGUUGGGGGCGCGAAGACGAUUAGAUACCGUCCUAGUCCCAACCGUAAACGAUGCCGACCCCAAAUUGGCGUGUGUAUCACUUGACGCCGCCAGCGCCCGAGGAGAAAUCAGAGUGUUUGGGCUUCCGGGGAGGAGUAUAGUCGCAAGGCCGAAACUUAAAGGAAUUGAUGGAAGGGCAUCACCAGGUGUGGAGCAUGCGGCUUAAUUUGACUCAACACGGGGAAUCUUACCAGGUCCGGACAUAGACACGAUUGACAGACUGAUAGCUCUUUCUUGAUCCUAUGGGUAGUG
rnacentral:rRNA from 1 species